UUUCAAAACUUUAAGAGUUAAGUAAAUUUGUACAGGGAUCAUCAAAGAAGCCUUCUCACAAAGGAUAAAAGAUAAAUUUAGAGGACUAGAAGUGGAAUAAAAGAAAAACACUUUAAAACAUUCUUUAGAGAGAAAGCGUUUUAUAUAUUAUUUUAUCAGAUUACACUUCUUUGUGUUCAACAUUUUUACAAUAUUCGUUGAACCAAAGUCCAAAUAGAAGUAUUCAUCUUAAGUCAUACACUACAGGAAUUGCAGGAGUCCUGCCUUAGCCACAGGGGAUAUACUCUAAGACCCCCAGUGGAUGCCUGAAACCACAGUAAUGAACCUUAAAUAUACUGUUUUUUUCCUAUUCAUAAACCACAUCUAACUAAUAACUAAUAAUAAAAUAGAAUAAUUGUAACAAUAUACUGUAAUAAAAGUUAUGUGAUGUAGCCUCUUAAAAUAUCUUAUUUUACUAUACUUACCUGUCUUUUUAUAAUGAUGUGAAAUGAUAAAAUGCCUAUGUGAUGAGAUAAAGUGAGGUGAAUAAUAUGGGCAUUGUGACCUAGUGUUAGGCUACUGUUGAACUUCUGACAUUUAGUCAGAAGGAAGAUCAUCUGCUUUCAUACUGCGGCUGAUCAUGGGUAGCUGACAACCAUGAAAAAUGAAACUGCAGAUAACGCCUCCUCAAGCAUAUCCAUAGCAAGCCUUCUAAGCUUUCAAAAUUCAACUUUGAAAACAAAUCUCAAGCAAAGGAAUCCACAAAGCAAUCCCAGAUGUUUUCAGAAGCAAUGGAGGAGUAUCUAGAGUCAUCAGCUGAUCACCAGAGGAUCUCCUGAACAUCUCUGCCAUCCACUUGGAAUGAUUUUUCUUCUGAAAAGCAAAAAACAAAACAGGGCACCUGGGUAAGUUGGUUGAGCAUCUGUCUACCUUUGGCUCAGGUCAAGAUCCCAGAACUCUGGGAUCGAGUCCUACAUUGGGCUCCCUGCUCAACAGAGAACCUGCUUCUCCCUCUCCCACUUCCCUUGCUUGCAGUCUCUCUCUGUCAAAUAAUAAAUAAAUAAAUAAAUAAAUAAAUAAAUAAAUA
rnacentral:lncRNA from 12 species